CGAAAAUGUUAAAGUUCUUAUUUCAUGGUAUAACUUUGGUAUGCUUGGACCUAGAGUCUUCAAACUUGACAUGAAGGUUGGCCAGGAUUAACAGAUGACCACUGGUCAUUUCAAGGUCAUUCAUUUGAAGGUGAAGGUCACUGUGACCUUCAAUAUAAAAAUGUUAAAGUUGUUAUAACUUUGGUAUGCUUGGACCUAGAGUCUUGAAACUUGACAUGAAGGUUGGCCAGAACUAGUAAGUAACCACUGGACAUUUCAAGGUCAUUCAUUUGAAGGUCAAGGUCACUGUGACCUUGAAUGUAAAAAUGUUAAAGUUGUUAUAACUUUGGUAUGCUUGGACCUAGAGUCUUGAAACUUGACAUGAAGGUUGGCCAGAACUAGUAAGUAACCACUGGACAUUUCAAGGUCAUUCAUUUGAAGGUCAAGGUCACUGUGACCUUGAAUGUAAAAAUGUUAAAGUUCUUAUUUCAUGUUAUAACUUUGGUAUGCUUGUACCUAGAGUCUUCAAACUUGAAAUAAAGAUUGGCCAGUACUAGAAGAUGACCACUGGUCAUUUCAAUGUCAUUCAUUUGAAGGUCAAGGUCACUGUGACCUUAAAUGUUAAAAUGUUAAAAUUGUUAUAACUUUGGUAUGCUUGGACAUAGAGUCUUCAAACUUGACAUGAAGGUUUGCAAGCACACUUAGAUGACCACUGGUCAUUUCAAGGUCAUUCAUUCUAAGGUCAAGGUCACUGUGACCUUGAAUGUAAAAAUGUUAAAGUUCUUAUAACUUUGGUAGGUAAAAAUGUUAAAGUUCUUAUUCCAUGUUAUAACUUUGGUAUGCUUGUACCUAGAGUCUUCAAACUUGACAUAAAGGUUGGCCAGUACUAGAAGAUCACCACUGCUCAUUUCAAUGUCAUUCAUUUGAAGGUCAAGGUCACUGUGACCUUCAAUGUUAAAAUGUUAAAAUUGUUAUAACUUUGGUAUGCUUGGACCUAGAAUCUCAAACUUGACGUAAAGGUUUGCAAGCACACUUAGAUGACCACUGGUCAUUUCAAGGUCAUUCAUUUCAAUGUCAUUCAUUUGAAGGUCAAGGUCACUGUGAACUUAAAUGUUAAAAUGUUAAAAUUGUUGUAACUUUGGUAUGCUUGGACCUAGAAUCUCAAACUUGACGUAAAGGUUUGCAAGCACACUUAGAUGACCACUGGUCAUUUCAAGGUCAUUCAUUUGAAGGUCGAGGUCACUGUGACCUUGGAUGUAAAUAUGUUAAAGUUGUUAAUACUUUGGUAUGCUUAGACCUAGAGUCUUCAAACUUGAUAUGAAGGUUGGCCAGAACUAGUAGAUGACCACUGGUCAUUUUAAGGUCAAGGUCACCGUGACCUUGAAUGUAAAAAUGUUAAAA